rnacentral:rRNA from 1 species
UCUUGGUCAUUUAGAGGAAGUAAAAGUCGUAACAAGGUCUCCGUUGGUGAACCAGCGGAGGGAUCAUUAUAGAGUUUUCUAAACUCCCAACCCAUGUGAACUUACCUUUUGUUGCCUCGGCAGAAGUUAUAGGUCUUCUUAUAGCUGCUGCCGGUGGACCAUUAAACUCUUGUUAUUUUAUGUAAUCUGAGCGUCUUAUUUUAAUAAGUCAAAACUUUCAACAACGGAUCUCUUGGUUCUGGCAUCGAUGAAGAACGCAGCGAAAUGCGAUAAGUAAUGUGAAUUGCAGAAUUCAGUGAAUCAUCGAAUCUUUGAACGCACAUUGCGCCCAUUAGUAUUCUAGUGGGCAUGCCUGUUCGAGCGUCAUUUCAACCCUUAAGCCUAGCUUAGUGUUGGGAAUCUACUUCUCUUAGGAGUUGUAGUUCCUGAAAUACAACGGCGGAUUUGUAGUAUCCUCUGAGCGUAGUAAUUUUUUUCUCGCUUUUGUUAGGUGCUAUAACUCCCAGCCGCUAAACCCCCAAUUUUUUGUGGUUGACCUCGGAUCAGGUAGGAAUACCCGCUGAACUUAAGCAUAUCAAUAAGCGGAGGA